rnacentral:rRNA from 1 species
GACAGAGGGUGCAAACGUUGUUCGGAAUUACUGGGCGUAAAGGGCGCGUAGGCGGCCUAUUAAGUCGGACGUGAAAUCCCUCGGCUCAACCGGGGAACUGCGUCCGAUACUGGCAGGCUUGAAUCCGGGAGAGGGAUGUGGAAUUCCAGGUGUAGCGGUGAAAUGCGUAGAUAUCUGGAGGAACACCGGUGGCGAAGGCGGCAUCCUGGACCGGUAUUGACGCUGAGGCGCGAAAGCUAGGGGAGCAAACGGG